CUCGUGUCUAAAAUUGCAUAAUAAAUCUCAGAAGUCUCACUCAGCUCAUGUGGCAACUGCUACUUCUUCUGGGCAGACAAUUACAGUUUCUGCAGAUGAAUUUGCCAAAUUCACUCAGUACCAAGAAACAUUAAAGAAUUCAUCUCACUCUAUCUCUACCAUUGCUGAGACAGGUAAAUCUAAUACAUGCCUUUUCUCAUUUUCAUCAAAAUGGGUUAUUGAUUCUGGUACUACAGAUCAUAUAACAUGUAAUCAUAGUCUCUUUUCCGCUUUCAAUCACAUACAUCUCCUUCCACUGUUACUUUAGCUGAUGGCUCUACCUCUUCUAUUCUCAGCUCUGGCACUGUUAAGCUAACCCCAUUAAUUUCCUUAUCAUCUAUCUUAAGCCUACCAAAAUUUUCUUUCAAUUUAAUGUAUAUUAGCAAACUUACUCGAACCUUAUACCAUUCUGUCUCAUUUUUUCCCGAUUACUGUGUUUUUCAGGAUCUUAUGACGAAGAAGAUUAUUGGUAAAUGACAUGAAUCAGGCGGUCUCUAUAUUCUGGAUGCCCAGGUGCCCAAGUCUACUGCAUGUUCAAAUGUCUUAACUUCAUUUGAAGCCCAUUGUCGGUUGGGACAUCCAUCUUUACCUUUGUUGAAGAAACUAUGUCCUCAAUUUCAAAAUGUAUCGUCUUUAGAUUGUGAGUCGUGUCAAUUUGCGAAACAUCGUCGUUUAUCCUUAGUUCCUCAAGUCAAUAAAAUAGCUAAUUCUCCUUUUGUGUUAGUUCAUUCAGAUGUUUGGGGUCCGUAUCCUGUCAUGUCUCAAACUUGAUUUCGGUAUUUUGUUACAUUUGUUGAUGACUUUUCUCGUGUGACUUGGCUUUAUUUA
rnacentral:lncRNA from 1 species